rnacentral:rRNA from 1 species
GAGUUUGAUCAUGGCUCAGAUUGAACGCUGGCGGCAUGCCUUACACAUGCAAGUCGUAACGGCAGCACGGGAGCUUGCUCCUGGUGGCGAGUGGCGAACGGGUGAGUAAUGCAUCGGAACGUAUCCUGGAGUGGGGGAUAACGUAGCGAAAGUUUACGCUAAUACCGCAUAUUCUGUGAGCAGGAAAGCGGGGGACCUUCGGGCCUCGCGCUCUUGGAGCGGCCGAUGUCGGAUUAGCUAGUUGGUGAGGUAAAGGCUCACCAAGGCGACGAUCCGUAGCAGGUCUGAGAGGAUGAUCUGCCACACUGGAACUGAGACACGGUCCAGACUCCUACGGGAGGCAGCAGUGGGGAAUUUUGGACAAUGGGGGCAACCCUGAUCCAGCCAUGCCGCGUGAGUGAAGAAGGCCUCGG